GUACAAUAUCUGUCUCUAGUACAAAAAUGGUGGUCUCUAGUACACUGGUAAACUCCUCAACCUCUCGCAAAAGAAAUAUAAAUCGAGAGGUGGACCACCUAGCAACUCGUCCUCGAAGGAAGCUAGCUCGAAGCAACUCCCUUCCCGCGAUCCCUGGCCUCACCCUGUGCGGAAGGCUCUGAAAAACAUCGAGAAGAAGAGGGCGUGAGAACUAUAAUUUAUAGUUCCCAGUGGGCAAUUACUGACCUCAGCUCUAUGCACCACUAAGCCCCGAAAGAAAAGGGUAAGUACAAUAAUAAUAGCAAUAAUGACUGCGAUAUGAAAGCAUAAUUAAAAUGCUAAAUUACUAAACUCAAGUAUACACGAUGUCAUGGUGAUGUAUAUCUAUGAUAUCAAAUGGUAAAUCAUUAACCUUUAUGAAUACAUUAUGCAUAAGUUCUGUCAUGGCAACCAAGUAUGCUUUAAUGUAAAAGGAGACUAUUAAGUAUACUACAUGUCUCAACCCUAUGCUAAAAGCAUAUAAAUGUAAUUCAACUACUAAACCUAUCUAGUAGUGAUUAUCCAUUCCCGGUUCAAUGUCAUUAAUCAAACAUGUUUUAGGAUCUACAAAUUGUAAUUCAGCUUGUGCCGCCUAAGUGUCGGUGGUAGCCCCAACAUUCCCACUCUAACAUGGUAUAGUCACUAGCAUCCCGAAGAUCUAGUUUAAGUCACAAUGUGAAGUUUCAACAUUUGCUACGCCUAGUGCCCCUUGAUGACACUUAGGCAAUUUGAUGUUCAACAUGUAUUCCAAAUCCCUCAAUGGCCCUAUCCACUAGAUUCACACAUGUCCUGAGCUCAAUAUCGCUUAAUGACAUUAGCUCUCUAGUUCACAUACCUUCUAAAUGGCAAUCUUGUCAACUUUCAUGUCACAAUAACUUAGGUUUAAAUGCAUGAAUCCAAUCUUAUUUACACUAUAGGAGCAUGAAACCACGUCUCAUAUAGAAUGCUAAAUGCAACCAUAGGCCAACCAAGCUACUCUCUACUACAUAGAGGUCCAAAAUUUCAUCAUAUAUGACAUAGGCCUUUUAAGCAUUCUAAAAUUCACAAUAAAUACAUACAAUAAGAAUAUGCAUGCUUUUCCAUUUAACGAUACUUAAUUAAGCACAAAUGAGAAUUUCUCAUUGUGGCUAGGUCAAACCCACCGAACCGUCGCGUGCUCCUUCG
rnacentral:lncRNA from 1 species